rnacentral:rRNA from 1 species
GACGAACGCUGGCGGCGUGCUUAACACAUGCAAGUCGAACGGAAAGGCCCUGCUUUUGUGGGGUGCUCGAGUGGCGAACGGGUGAGUAACACGUGAGUAACCUGCCCUUGACUUUGGGAUAACUUCAGGAAACUGGGGCUAAUACCGGAUAGGAGCUCCUGCUGCAUGGUGGGGGUUGGAAAGUUUCGGCGGUUGGGGAUGGACUCGCGGCUUAUCAGCUUGUUGGUGGGGUAGUGGCUUACCAAGGCUUUGACGGGUAGCCGGCCUGAGAGGGUGACCGGCGACAAUGGGACUGAGAGACGGCGCAGACUCCUACGGGAGGCAGCAGUGGGGAAUAUUGCACAAUGGGCGGAAGCCUGAUGCAGCAACGCCGCGGGCGGGAUGACGGCCUUCGGGUUGUAAACCGCUUUCGCCUGUGACGAAGCGUGAGUGACGGUAAUGGGUAAAGAAGCACCGGCUAACUACGUG